rnacentral:rRNA from 1 species
GAUCCUGGCUCAGAACGAACGCUGGCGGCAGGCCUAACACAUGCAAGUCGAGCGCGCCCUUCGGGGUGAGCGGCGGACGGGUUAGUAACGCGUGGGAACGUACCCUUUGGUAGGGAAUAGCCACUGGAAACGGUGAGUAAUACCCUAUGAGCCCUUCGGGGGGAAAGAUUUAUCGCCAAAGGAUCGGCCCGCGUUAGAUUAGGUAGUUGGUGGGGUAAUGGCCUACCAAGCCUACGAUCUAUAGCUGGUUUUAGAGGAUGAUCAGCAACACUGGGACUGAGACACGGCCCAGACUCCUACGGGAGGCAGCAGUGGGGAAUCUUGGACAAUGGGGGCAACCCUGAAUCCAGCCAUGCCGCGUGAGUGAAGAAGGCCUUAGGGUCGUAAAGCUCUUUCGCCUGUGAAGAUAAUGACGGUAGCAGGUAAAGAAACCCCGGCUAACUCCGUGCCAGCAGCCGC